UACAUGCAGUGUGAACAGAAAGUAGUAACUACAGAGCUGACAGGCAGGCAGUAUUGAUCCCAGUAAAAAGCAGACUUUCACAGAUGAUAAAUACUGGAUAAUAGUAGUGCUAUAAAGCAACCAUAGAAAAGAUCAUAAGAACUCUAUUAUUUCUUUGAAAAUGGCUCUACUCGGAAACCUUGCAGCCUCUGAAAAAUCCCUACUUGCUGUGCCAGAAAUGAUAAGUGCUACAACCACAGGGAGGAGAUGCACACACUUGGCCGGAAGAAGAGUCUGAUGACGCAAAAUUAGUUGCCAUCUAGUGGUGUGCACCUGCGUCCUGAGAGCGGCCGCUCUCACUCCCCACUUUUUGGAACUGCAGUUUCAUUGUUUGCUGUUUAUUCAAAUGGAAUAAACGUUCUUCGCUAUUGGAUCUCCUGGAUGGAGGAGAGAAAUUGAAUUCAAGCUGUGAUGGAUCUGUCAAGCAGCUGACAUCAGCGGUGCCCAACAGACCCCAAUGGUUUAUAAUGGGGCCCUUCAGUUUCUGUCAUAGUGUCCCUUGUUUUCAUGCGAAGACUUUCACUUCAUGCUGCACUAUUCUUCCAGUCCGAUUCAACAGAAUCAAAUCUGUAACAGAGUCUCAGAAUGGAGCCGCCAACGCAGAUUUGAUCAGAGCUUUAAUCUUAUAACCUGAUAUCAUUUUGUAUUGUUGGUUUUCUUUAUGUUUUGCAGAGUAUGUUGUUUGCUACAACGAUAAAAUACAAGAACAGCUCAAAUAGGAACAUAAUAAAUAAAAUCAUAGGACCUAGAAACAUUUACGUGCAUUUUCAGUUUUCCACCCUGACUCUAAAUCUGUUAUAAGCAGAAAAUAAGUAAAUUCUUCAUGUACCGGUGGCAGAGAAACGCCCGCUGCCUUGAACGCAAGGGAGCCAAUUACUGUGCCAUUUCCACGGGUGGUCGAGAAAGAAUUUUACAUGCUUUUUCCUUGAAACUCACAAGGUUCUGCUACCUAAACAGCUUCCAUUUUUCAAAGUGAACAUUUUAUGAUGUAGUCUACAAAUGCUAUAAUUCUAAG